rnacentral:rRNA from 1 species
AUACGUAGGGGGCGAGCGUUGUCCGGAAUGAUUGGGCGUAAAGGGCGCGUAGGCGGCCCGGUAAGUCUGGAGUGAAAGUCCUGUUUUUAAGAUGGGAAUUGCUUUGGAUACUGUCGGGCUUGAGUGCAGGAGAGGUGAGUGGAAUUCCCAGUGUAGCGGUGAAUGCGUAGAGAUUGGGAGGAACACCAGUGGCGAAGGCGACUUACUGGACUGUAACUGACGCUGAGGCGCGAAAGUGUGGGGAGCAAACAGGAUUAGAUACCCUGGUAGUCCACACUGUAAACGAUGAAUGCUAGGUGUAGGGGGUAUCGACCCCUUCUGUGCCGCAGUCAACACAAUAAGCAUUCCGCCUGGGGAGUACGGCCGCAAGGUUGAAACUCAAAGGAAUUGACGGGG